rnacentral:rRNA from 1 species
UACGAAGGGGGCUAGCGUUGCUCGGAAUUACUGGGCGUAAAGCGCACGUAGGCGGACCCUUAAGUCGGUGGUGAAAUCCUGGAGCUCAACUCCAGAACUGCCUUCGAUACUGAGAGUCUCGAGUCCGGGAGAGGUGAGUGGAACUGCGAGUGUAGAGGUGAAAUUCGUAGAUAUUCGCAAGAACACCAGUGGCGAAGGCGGCUCACUGGCCCGGUACUGACGCUGAGGUGCGAAAGCGUGGGGAGCAAACAGG